rnacentral:lncRNA from 1 species
GGUAGUACAACGAACAGCAGAAAUAAUAAAAAUUAUAUCCAGAUUCAUAGAGCAUCUAGCGACGACUACAAGCACUGAAGCGAGCAGAAGGCGCGCUGCCGUCAUCGCUUGUGGCGCCCUCGAUUCAGUCGUACACUAAUCAUACACGCAAAUGUGUAUGAUCAAGAUCAAGAACUCACGGGAAGAUAUCACAACACAACUCUAGACACAAAUAAAAUAAUACAAGCUUUAUAUUACAAGUCAUGGGCCUGGAGGGCUCGAAUACAUAAGCUCAAAUACACAAGAGUCAGCGGAAGCAACAAUAUAUGAGUACAGACAUAUGUUAGACAAGUCUGCCUUAAGAAGGCUAGCACAAAAGCAACAUCGAUCGAAAAGGCAAGUCCUCCUGCCUGGGAGCCUCCUAACUACUCCUGGUCGGCGACGACCUCCACGUAGUAGUAGGCACCCUCAGUGUAGUAGCAGUCGUCGUCGAAGGUGACUUCUGGAUCCUCGGCUCCACCAUCUGGUUGCAGCAUCCGGGAAGAAUGAAAAGACGUGGAAAAAGGGGAGCAAAGUAACCGUGAGUACUCAUCCAAAGUACUCGCAAGCAAGGAUCUACACUACAUAUGCACCAUUAUCAAAGAGGGGGUGUAUAUGUGGACUGGGCUGCAGAAAUGCCAGAAUAGAGAGAAGACCUAGUCAUAUCGAAGACUAGCAUCGUCAGUAUCUUCAAACAUCUUGCAGCAUUUACAGGAGUAAAAGAGUAGCAUAAAGUAAGGUAGUGGUAGUGUCAUCAACCUCGCCCAUAGAUCCUUUCUCGAAUCCAUGCGAGAAAUCAAUCCAGAGCCAUACUAUCCAGUUAUUACCUCAAGUAUCUAGUUCUAGUUGUAUCGAUCGGGAUACAACUCCAAGUGUCCGUUACCGUAGAACAGGCUAUCGAUAGAUGUUUUCUCCUCUCCAGGGGUGCACCAACUUACCCACCACGCUCGAUUAACUCCGGCCGGACACACUUUCCUGGGUCAUGCUCAGCCUCGGCCAAACAAUACGCCACAACCCGACCUAGGCUAAAUAGAGAGGUCAGCACGCCGGACUAAACCUAUGCCCCAGGGGUCAUGGGCCAUCGCCCCGGGAACUCCUGCACGUUUCAUGGGCGGCCGGUGAGCAGACCUAGCUACCUCCUUAAAAAGGCAGGAGCUUACCAGUCCAACCCGGCGCGCGCCGCUCAGUCGCUGACGUCUAAUAAGCUUCGGCUGAUGCAUACAAUGCAGAACGCCCAUACAAUGCCCACGUGAUGGUUAGUGCUAUCAGGCCAGAGGCCCUCGGGUCAAUUAUCCAAAUCGUAGUGGAUUAGGAGCACACGGUAACAAGCAGAGACUCACGAAAGAUGUGACCCCGUCGCCCCGUCUUGAGGACUUGCGACAAGGGCUAAGAAUGCCCGGCCAUGCCUCGUAGGUAUCUCGCGGGCACCUUCCAGGUCAACCCAACUCCACAUCACUCGCAAAUAAGCUCGCGCGGGUACCCGUCUUUAGUAACAUGGUUCGGUGUAAAGUCAUAGUAACCAUAGUAACUAUGUGUCUAACACCAAGGGGAACCCUGAGGAACCACCCUCGAUGGAUCCCACUUGAUGUAAUCAUCAAGGUGAACGUAAGAGGAACCACCCUCGAGGUUCACACUUGAGGGGUUGCACGACAGAGUCGUAUCGGAAGUGGUUAAGGAGGGAAUCACCCUCGAUGACCUCGACUGAAUAGCUACACUACAGAGAUCUCAUCAGGAGUGAAGUAUGAGGUUCCACCCUCGGCACUCGAUGGUAACUCUAAAGAGUCGAGCACCAAAAGGGGCGUGAUGUGAUGUGAGGUGCCAAGCUCUGGUCGUCGAUCACGUUGAUUGGGUCUUCGAUGAUGAAGCAGGGGCAACAAGGACAAGGUGGGGGUCACCGAUGGAUCACUAACCAACCUAUACUAAGUAGUCAUGUAAGGUAACAAUAAGCAAGUUACAAAAGCAGGCUAUGCAUCAGAAUAGGAGCAAACAAUAACAGUAGCAAAAUCUAAUGCAAGCAUGAGAGAAUGGAAUGGGUGAUAUCAGGAUGAUCAAAGGGGGUGGCUUGCCUGGAAGCUCUGCUGCAAAGGAAGAAGAGUCGUCGGUGAUGUAGUCGAUCACGGGGGCAUCAUCAGUCUUGGGGUCUACCGGAGAGAGGAGGGGGGAGAAACGGUAAAUAUAAAGUAAACAAAGGUACCACUAAGCAUGACAAGACGAUAAGAAGAACUAGGGUCGACCUAACGUAGUACUACACGUUGUAGACGAAGGGCAUAAACAUCCGAGGAUGAAUUCCCGGCGUUAGGCGGAUUCUGGACAGAGGAAAAGAGGGGGAAAGUUCCAUGUUCAGCAUGCUAGGGGCAUAUGACAGAUGAACGGACCGUGUAAUCGGAUUCGUUGGAUUUUUCUCAGCAACUUUCAUGUAGAGAACAUUUUCAUCCGAGCUACGGAUUAUUUUUUGUGAUUUAUCAAAGAUUUAAACAAUUUCUGAAUUUAUUAUUAAAUCUAAAACAGAGUUAUUGCACCAGCAUGACGUCAUCAUGACAUCAGCGGUCAACACAGACCGUUGAGUGGUCAAACAGGGCAGUGGGGCCCGUCUGUCAUUGACCUAACUAAUUAGCAGAUUUAAAUUAACUAAACUAGUUCAUUAGGCUAAUUAAGCAAGGUUAAUUAAGAUAAUUAAUUACCUAAUUAGUUAAUUAAUUAAUUGCUUCUAUAUUUAUUUAUUUUAAAAAGAAGAUUUUUUAACCAGGGGCCGUGCCCAGCUGUGAGUGGCCCAUAGGCCUUUAGCGGGUGCGGGCGUUAUCGGGUGCGGGCGCCCGCGCCCGCGCACGGAGAUGACAGAGGGCGGAGGCGGGGCCGUGGCCAUGGCACGACUAGGGGAGGGCCCCGGCCGCGGCGAGGAGACCGACCAGCGAGCGGACGGGAAAGAGCGAGUCGUGCCCGGAGCACAACGGCGACCAAGCGCGGCAGGGCGGCGACCGCACUGGUGAACGGAGGCGGGUGCGCGGCCAGGCGGUGGUCGGCGGCGUAGCAGCGGCGAGCGGUGUGAGCGGAGCGCGGCGGCGGCGGCANNNNNNNNNNNNNNNNNNNNNNNNNNNNNNNNNNNNNNNNNNNNNNNNNNNNNNNNNNNNNNNNNNNNNNNNNNNNNNNNNNNNNNNNNNNNNNNNNNNNNNNNNNNNNNNNNNNNNNNNNNNNNNNNNNNNNNNNNNNNNNNNNNNNNNNNNNNNNNNNNNNNNNNNNNNNNNNNNNNNNNNNNNNNNNNNNNNNNNNNNNNNNNNNNNNNNNNNNNNNNNNNNNNNNNNNNNNNNNNNNNNNNNNNNNNNNNNNNNNNNNNNNNNNNNNNNNNNNNNNNNNNNNNNNNNNNNNNNNNNNNNNNNNNNNNNNNNNNNNNNNNNNNNNNNNNNNNNNNNNNNNNNNNNNNNNNNNNNNNNNNNNNNNNNNNNNNNNNNNNNNNNNNNNNNNNNNNNNNNNNNNNNNNNNNGGGCAAGGCGUGGAGCGCGGCAGCGGCGGCGAUGGCGCGAGGGCAGGUGGCUGGAGCCGCGACAGCAGCCAGCGGGCGUGCGGGCUUGGCGCGGUGUGGCGAACCAACGAAGGGGCAGCAGCGGCGCGCGGGCAGGCGGGGAAAAGCGGUAGCAACAACAGCAGUCAUUGCGGGCUCGGUGGGGCGCAGCUGCUGCUACAGCGGCAGCAGCAGGCAGCGGGCGAAGCAUGUGGGGGGCCGGGGAGGGGCCGCGCGGCGGAGGCAGGGGUGGGAGGGCGAGCGGCAACGGUGGGGCGGGCAAGCUACGGUGAGGAAUAUGAGACGGCGCGGGCACACGCGGCGGCUGCGGUGUGUAGCGGCGCGGCAACAGAGCAAGAGCAGCAUGCAGACGAGGACGCAGGAGGGCGGCCACGCGCGGGCGGGAGCAUGGCGGUGCGUACCGGAGUUCAGGCGGCGUAGUACAGAAGCGGGAUGGGCAUGGGCCCCGGUGGGCGUGGCCAAACUACGACGAAAUCGAGGGGAAAGGCAGGGAAACAUGGAGAGGAGCUCACAGUGAGCAUGUAGGGCUCAGGGGAGACGGUGAGGCAGUGACAGCCGGGGAUCGACGGUGGAGCCCUCGGUGGCCGUAGGUGAAGAAGAUGACGCGGUCGAUGGCGGCGAUUUCGCGCCUCCAAGCUCGAACGGUUAUGCGUAGGUGACGUAGAGGAUGACGGUGAUCCAUCCCGGAUAUCAGCUAGCGGCGCGGGACGACGAAGAGCGGGGAACGGUGACGAUGGCAGCAGGUGCGUGUUGUGGAGAAGGGGGCGACCGAGAAAGAGGGGAUAAGGCAGCUAGGGUUCGUCCAAGAUCAAGGAGGGGGUCUUGUAGAUGCCAGGAAGAUCCGGAUGGCCGCCGCGUGGAGGAUCCGCGACGUGGACGCAACAAGUGAGGCCACCAAGCUCCCUGUGCACUGUAGGAAGGAGAAGAGGGAUAGGUGGGCUGGGCUGUGCACUGUGGACUUAGAGCCCAGAGGUACAUUGCCAGUUUUCUUUUGACGCAUUUCUUUAAACCUCUUCGUUUUGCAUUUCCUUUUAGUAAUAAAUGAGUUUUGUUUUGAACAAAACUUCGCACAUAAUUCUAACACAAUAUAAUGCGAUGGAACAAAAAAGUAUGGGGGCAAAAGAAGUUGUAUAACCAUUUUUAGAAAUUAAAAAGGCCAAUUUCAAAUGAUGUUGGACCACUAAAUAAUUUCUAGGGGCACUUGGGGAAAUCCAAAAGAGGUUGGUUCCAACAUUGACAAAUACCCAGGGAUUAUUUGCCACACUGUGAACAUUUUAGUUUUCAUGUUUGGCAAAUUUGAAAAUUUGAGUUUGAAUAUGAAUAGUGAUCUGGAUCAAGUGAGGAUUAGCAACAGUAAUGUGAUGACGUGGCACCAUUAGCAGGGAUUUACUGUAGCUUAAUUAUCCGGACGUCACAAUUCUCCUCCACUACAAGAAAUCUCGUCCCGAGAUUUAAGGAGUGAAAUAAGAGGGAAGCUAUAAGAAUGGAUGUCUGAAAGGAUCGGCAUCCGAUAGUUAUAUCAAGGAAGGAGAUUUUAGAAGCACCAAGAAAUGUAUCGAGAGUGCUAUAAGGAGGUUCAAGAAGUUUCAACCAGGUAGGCAUCCAGCGAAUGCCUAAAACAAGUGAUGAUGGGGUUCAGAGCAAUGAAGAAUAAUGUUGCCUCUGAUACCAGAAUGAAACAUGGGGAGGAAGUUGGCUCAUGAAUUACAUACGAAGCCAAGUGCAAAGAAUGUUUCGAAAUCAAGGUUGUACAUGAGAGUAAGGUUUCGAUCCUGUGGAACUGUGGGUUAUGGACCCACCAUGUGGGUUAAAAGCGAGAAGGGUGCUAACAUUUUGCACGAUCAUGAUAGCAAGGCAGGUCAGAGAAUAGCCUGUCAAUUAUGUUGGCAACAAAGUUCGGUACCAAGGGCGUGGGACGAAGAGAACCAUUUUCCUGCUUGUUAAUUCGAGGCAGACCAAUAGGCAAAGUUCUCGUCCAUUGGUGAUACCGAAAUGUCAGCAACAUUAGUAACAGGGUCUCACUGGCAAGGUUGUACAUGGGGGUGUUUUAUAAGCAGGGAUUUAUUUCUGCUUAUAUCGUAUAGAUCAGAAGAAAGGUUAAACAAAACAAUGGAAAGGAAAAUGUGGUUAUUAGUUUAACCAGCCCAAUGGAAAGGAAAAUGUGCUUAUACAAAAGUAUUAGAGUAUAUGCUUCCCAAGAACAAACAGGGAAUGAUAUACAUGACAGGACAUCAAGUACUUAUCCAUUUAAUUAAUGGGAUAAGGAGAAUCAUGAUGCUUACCCAUACAACGGUGUUUGGAUAAUUGAUCAAGAAACAUUUAGCUUUGUGCCUCCAAUGUUCUUAAUGAUGUUCGGAGUAACACAACCAUACUUUUGGAUAGCAUUGACAUGGUCAUCAGGUAAAGGCCGGACCUUGGGAACACAAAGGAUCCAUCGGGAAUUACUUGAACACCUCAAGCAAUUUUAUCAGGGAAGAUGAGGAGGUGGCCGAUGGUUUCAGCAAAAAUCCAUCAACAUGUCAAAAAGGAUGUAUUUACAACAUUAUCAGAACAGGUUUGUGUUGGGGGGGGGAGGCAGAAUGUUGUCGAUGAUAACACGAAUCAUCAAGAGGCAAGGAUGGUAUUUGUCAUCAUGAAUUUAAUUGAUAUCCUGGAAGAGCUCAGAAUGUUGAUGAUGAUCAUGACCAAUUUGUCAUGAGGUUUCAUGAGGAUGUAAUCGAUAGACGAUAAUAUCAAGUCAAAGGAAUUUUGAGGCGGAAGGUUAUCGGAACCACGAAUAUGACACAAUCUCGGAAUCAGGCUUGCUGUUCAAGAUAAAUUGAUAUGACGAGGAAGAUCGACGUAAGCUUAGCUCAUCAUCGAAAAUUGUGCUGAAGGAAGGACCAGGUAGCACAUUUAAAAUUUACCACAAUAAUGAUAUAGUUGAUCAGGCUAGGAAUGGCUUGAAGUAUUAUUAAACUUGUAAGCAACGAAAAUUUACUUCGAGUUAUUGAAUCGGAGAGCGGGAUCAAUUCACUUAUCAGUGUGAUCGGUUGACAAACAACCCAGAACCCAUGAAGUGACAAUGACAGGGAAAUGUAGUGUUCAUCAAAAGUCCAUAAGAUUUGGUGCAAUGUCAUGAUAUCCUUGAGAUACUAGGGGUAAUCCUCGAAGGUAGAUCAUAAUAGAGAUUGGACAUGUGUAUUGAUAUGCAGAAGGCAAGCACUUCAACUUGUCCGAGAAAUGGGAUCAAAGAAGAACAAUCUUGGUUGGGACCAUGAUUGCAAAGGCCAAAACCACAGAUACAUGAUCAAAUUAUACCAAGGGAACAAUUAUUGGCAUGAGAAGAUUCCAUGAUAAGAUCUACAUCGUUUCCAUGGGCAUGAACACAAAGUUCAAGGUCGACUCCCACUUCUUCAAUGCAUAACAUUUCAUGCACUUCCUGCUUUUGAAGAAGUUGUAGCGAUGAAAUUUUAUCUGACGAAAAGCCAGUAGGGUAAAACCCUCAUAAUUUUUGAGUUCACAUAGAUUUAGGGAAGGCAUAGGUUCAGCCCAUUGGGGCAUCUUAGGAACAUAUAACACAAGCUUCAGGAGUAAAUUAUACCAGCUCAAAAGCAGAGCAUCGUUAAUAAAAAGCAUAAGACAGAAUUUACCAAAGGCAUUGUGGGUCAAGGGAAGAACUCACAAGGUUAAUGAAUAUGAAGGACAUUGUCGGAUAAUAAUCCAAUCAAGGAUAUGGCGGUCCAUAAAGGAUCUAAUGUGAGUAUCGAUACUCAACCAAAAGAAGAAAGAAUGCAAAGGCAUCGGAUCAUAUAAAUAUCUGGAUAAUUUCAAAGCUUAAACGCAAAGGAAUUAUGAUUUCCAAUUCGGGGGUCAGAAGCAGAUGCUCUGAUCAAAAGGGUAGUAAGUUGCAUAGAAUUCGAUGGGCAAUCUAUCAAGGUUUGAUUUGCGGAGAACCAGCUCAUGUCCGGAAUGACGUCUGAGCUGGAAGAACAAUUUCCAGGGAACAACUGAUGAUUGCGUGCAUUCACACACAUGUUGAAUCGACAGGGUAAGGACGGCAAUCGCAAAGGAUUUUAAUGAAUAUUGCUAGACAUAUGGAAUUAACCAAAAUGCAAGCAGGUAAGGAAGAACAAGAGCAAUAGGCUACUAAGGAUUUUCAGAAGAUCGAAUAGUAUUUCAAAGAAUUUUGUGAAACACAAGAACAACUAGGGAUGAGCGAAUACUCGAUAAGUGCGAGGAAUUAUCUGUAGGGGUAUUCAUGUGGUAAAGAACUGCAAGGCGGUAAGCUCAAAGGAUUCUCGGGGCAACAAAGAGUAUUUCGGGGCAUCAUGUAAUAACAAGAGCAAUAGGGAAUGACUGUAUGAAUGGCAAGUGUACGUAGUUAUCCAUAAGGAUAUAUCGGUGCUAGGGAAUUACAAAAGCGACGAGCACAAAGUGUCAAGAGAACAUCGUAAGGUAUCUUCGGAAUAUUCUGGUGCAGCAGGCGAUCAUCUGUAAUAAGGGGCUCUCCGGGAGAAAGUAGUUACGAGAUCCUAAUGUUAGAGUUAGCAAAAUCGUUUAACCCGAAAGGAAGAGAGAUUAGAGUCCCAGAGUAUAGACGAGGAAUAAAAGAUCCUAAUACCACCCAAUGGCGACAUGGGCCCGUAAGACACACAACCAUGUUAGUAAAAGUUUUUCAUUGACUAGACUCAACUUCGGCCAAGGAGUUGGAAAGGGGUCUACCUACAGGCAGUCGGCUGUGAUACCAACUUGUGACGCCCUCGAUUCAAUCAUACACGCAAAUGUGUAUGAUCAAGAUCAAGGACUCACGGGAAGAUAUCACAACACAACUCUAGACACAAAUAAAAUAAUACAAGCUUUAUAUUACAAGCGAUGGGCCCAGAGGGCUCGAAUACAUAAGCUCGAAUACACAAGAGUCAGCAGAAGCAACAAUAUCUGAGUACAGACAUAUGUUAGACAAGUCUGCCUUAAGAAGGCUAACACAAAAGCAACAUCGAUCGAAAAGGCAAGGCCUCCUGCCUGGGAGGCUCCUAACAACUCCUGGUCGUCGGCAGCCUCCACGUAGUACUAGGCACCCUCAGUGUAGUAGCAGUCAUCGUCGAAGGUGGCGUAUGGAUCAUGGGCUCCACCAUCUGGUUGCAGCAUCCGGGAAGAAUGGAAAGAGGUGGAAAAAGGGGAGCAAAGCAACCGUGAGUACUCAUCCAAAGUACUCGCAAGCAAGGAUCUACACUACAUAUGCAACAUUAUCAAAGAGGGGUUGUAUAUGUGGACUGGGCUGGAGAAAUGCUAGAAUAGAGAGAAGACCUAGUCCUAUCGAAGACUAGCAUCGUCGGUUUCUUCAAGCAUCUUGCAGCAUUCAGAAGAGUAAAGAGUAGCAUAAAGUAAGGUAGUAGUAGUGUCAUCAACCUCGCCCAGAGAUCCUUUCUUGACUCCUUGCGAGAAAGCAAUCCCAGAGCCAUACUAUCCAGUUAUCACCUCAAGUAUCCGGUUCUAGUUGUAUCGAUCGGGAUACAACUCCAAGUGUCUGUUACCGUAGGACAGGCUAUCGAUAGAUGUUUUCUUCCCUGCAGGGGUGCACGAACUUACCCACCACGCUCGAUUAACUCCGGCCGGACACACUUUCCUGGGUCAUGCCCGGUCUUGGCCAAACAAUACGCCGCAACCCGACCUAGGCUAAAUAGAGAGGUCAGCAUGUCGAACUAAACCUAUGCCCCCAGGGGUCAUGGGCCAUCGCCCCAGGAACUCCUGCAUGUUGCGUGGGCGGCCGGUGGGCAGUCCUAGAUACCUCCUUAAAAAGGCAGGAGCUUACCAGUCCAACCCGGCGCACGCCGCUCAGUCGCUGACGUCUAAUAAGCUUCGGCUGAUGCAUACGACGCAGAACGCCCAUACAAUCCCACGUGAUGGUUAGUGCUAUCAGGCCAGAGCCCCCUCGGAUCAAUUAUCCAAAUCGUAGUGGAUUAGGAGCACGCGGUAACAAGCAGAGACUCACGAAAGAUGUGACCCCGUCGCCCCAUCUCGAGGACUUGCGGCAAGGGGUAAGAAUGCCCAGCCAUGCCUCGUAGUUAUCUCGCGGGCACCUUCCAGGUCAACCCAACCAUCACUCGCAAAUAAGCUCGCACGGGUACCCCUCGGGGCCGACCCGUCUUUAGUAACAUGGUUCAGUGUAAAGUCAUAGUAACCAUAGUAACCGUGUGUCUAACACCAAGGGGAACCCUGAGGAACCACCCUCGGUGGAUUCCACUUGAUGUAAUCAUCAAGGUGAACGUAGGAGGAACCACCCUCGAGGUUCACACUUGAGGGGUUGCACGACAGAGUUGUACCGGAAGUGGUUAAGGAGGGAAUUACCCUCGAUGACCUUAACCGAAUAGCUACACUACAGAGAUCUCAUCAGGAGUGAAGUAUGAGGUUCCACCCUCGGCACUCGAUGGUAACUCUCCAGAGUCGAGCAGCAAAAGGGGCGUGAUGUGAUGUGAGGUGUUAGGCUCUGGUCGUCGAUCACGUUGAUCGGGUCUUCGAUGAUGAAGCAUGGGCAAAAGGACAAGGUGGGGGGUCACUGAUGGAUCACUAACCAUCCUAUACUAAGCAGUUUAGGAUAAGCAGGUAAGGUAAUAAUAAGCAGGUUACAAAAGCAGGCUAUGCAUCACAAUAGGAGAAAACAAUAAUAGUAGCAAAAUCUAAUGCAAGCAUGAGAGAAUGGAAUGGGCGAUAUCGAGAUGAUCAAAGGGGAGCUUGCCUGCAAGCUCUGCUGCAAAGGAAGAAGAGUCAUCGGUGAUGUAGUCGAUCACGGGGGCAUCGUCAGUCUCGGGGUCUACCGGAGAGAAGAGGGGGAAGAAACAGUAAAUAUAGAGCAAACAAAGGUACCACUAAGCAUGACAAGACGAUAAGCAGAACUAGGGUCAACCUAACGUAGUACUACACAUUGUAGACGAAGGGAAUAAAUAUCCGAGGAUGAAUUCCCGGUGUUAGGCGGAUUCCGGAUGGAGGAAAAGAGGGGGAAAGUUCCACGUUCAGCAUGCUAUGGGCAUAUGACAGAUGAACGAAUUGCGUAAUCAGUUUCGUUGGAUUUUUUUGAGCAACUUUCAUGUAGAAAGCAUUUUCAUCCGAGCUACGGAUUAUUUUCUGUGAUUUAUGAGAGAUUUAAACUAUUUCUGAAUUUAUUAUUAAAUCUAAAAUGGAGUUAUUGCACCAGCAGGACGUCAUCAUUAUGUCAGCGGUCAACACAGAGCGUUGAGUGGUCAAACAGGGCAGUGGGGCCCAUUUGUCAUUGACCUAACUAAUUAACGGAUUUAAAUUAACUAAACUAGUUCAUUAGGCUAAAUAAGCAAGGUUAAUUAAGAUAAUUAAUUGCCUGAUUAGUUAGUUAAUUAAUUAAUUGCUUUUAUAUUUAUUUAUUUUUGAAAAUCUUUUUUUUAACCGGGGGUCGGGCCCAGCUGUGAGUGGCCCAUAGCCUUUAGCGGGUGCAGGCGUUAUCGGGUGCGGGCGCCCGCGCACCCGCAUGGAGACGACGGAGGGCGGAGGCGGGGCCGUGGCCACGACACGACCAGCGGAGGGCGCCGGCCGCGGCGAGGAUGCCGGCCAGCAAGCGGAGGGGGAAGAGCAGGUCGCGGUCGAAGCACAGCAGCGAGCAAGCGCGGCAGGGCGGCGACCGCGCCGGCGUACGGAGGCGGGUGCGCGGCCAAGCGGUGGUCGCCGAUGCAGCAGCGGCGCGCAACAGCGACGUGAGUGGAGCGCGGCGGCGGUGACAGCACGGCGCGGAUGCGCCAGGCAACGAGCAGCAGCUCGCAAGCGGGAGGGGCGCGGGGGCAAGGCGUGGAGCACUGCAGCGACGACAUGGUGCGAGGGCAGGCGGCUGGAGCCGCGACAGCGGCCAGCGAGUGCGCGGGCUUGGCGCGGUGUGGCGAACCGGGGAAGGGGCAGCAGCAACGGCAGCAGUCGAUGCGGUCUCGGCGGGGCGCAGCUGCUCCUGCAGCGGCAACAGCAGGCAGUGGGCGAAGCAGGUGGGGGGUUGGGGAGGGGCCGCGCGACGGAGGCAGAGGUAGGAGGGCGAGCGGCAGCGGCGGGGCCGACGAGCUACGACAAGGAGUAUGAGACAGCGCAGGCACACGCGACGGCUGCGGUGUGUAGCGGCACAACAAUACAGCAAGAGCAGCAGGCAGACGAGGGCGCAGGAGGGCGGCCACGCGCGGGCGGGAGCGUGGCUGUGCGCGCUGGAGUUCAUGUGGCGUAGUACAGAAGCGGGAUGGGCACGGGCCCUGGUAGGCGUGGCCAAACUACGAAGAAAUCAAGGGGAAGGCGGGGAAACGUGGAGAGGAGCUCACAGUGAGCCUGUAGACGCACUUAGAGGGCUCGGGGGAGACGGCGAGGCAGCGACAGUCAGGGAUCGACGAUGGAGGCCUCGGUGGCCGUAGGUGAAGAAGAUGACGCGGUCGAUGGCGGUGAUUUCGCGCCUCCAAGCUCGAACGGUUACGCGUAGGCGACGUAGAGGACGACGGUGAUCCAUCCCGGACAUCAGCUGGCGGCACGGGAUGACGAAGAGCGCGGGAACGGUGACGGCGGCGGCGGGUGCGUGCUGUGGAGAAGGGGGCGACCGAGAGAGAGGGGAUAAGGCAGCUAGGGUUCGUCCAGGAUUAAGGGGGGGUGGUCUUGUAGAUGCCAGGGAGUUCCAGAUGGCCGCCACGUGGAGGAUCCGCGACAUGUACGUGGCAAGUGAGGCCACCGAGCUCCGUGUGAGCAGUAGGAAGGAGAAGAGGGAUAGGUGGGCUGGGUUGUGCACUGUGGACUUAGAGCCCAGAGGUACAUUGCCAGUUUUCUUUCGAUGCAUUUCUUUAAACCUCUUCGUUUUGCAUUUCCUUUUAGUAAUAAAUGAGUUUUGUUUUGAACAAAACUUGGCCCAUAAUUCUAAAACAAUAUAAUGCGAUGGAACAAAAAUAUGGGGGCAAAAGGAGUUGUAUAGCCAUUUUUAGAAAUUGAAAAGGCCAAAUUCAAAUGAUGCUGGACCAUUAAAAAAUUUCCAGGGGCACUUGUGGAAAUCCAAAAGAGGUUGGUUCCAACAGGAAAAAUACCCAGGGAUUAUUUGCCACACUGUGAACAUUUUAGUUUUCAUGUUUGGCAAAUUUGAAAUUUUGAGUUUGAAUAUGAAUAGUGAUUUGGAUCAAGCGAGGAUUAGCAACAGUAAUGUGAUGAUGUGGCACCAUUAGCAGGGAUUUACUGUAGCUUAAUUAUCCGGACGUCACAAUUCUACUACACUACAAGAAAUCUUGUCCCGAGAUUUAAGGAGUGAAAUAAGAGGGAAGCUAUAAGAACGGAUGUCUGAAAGGAUCGACAUCCGAUCGUUAUCUCAAAGAAGGAGAUUUUAGAAGCACCAAGAAAUGUAUCGAGAGUGCUAUGAGGAGGUUCAACAAGUUUCAACCAGGUAGGCAUCCAGCGGAUGCCUAAAACAAGUGAUGAUGGGGUUCAGAGCAAUGAAGAAUAAUGUUGCCUCUGAUACCAGAAUGAAACAUGGGGAGGAAGUUGGCUCGUGAAUUACAUACGAAGCCAUGUGCAAAGAAUGUUUCGAAAUCAAGGUUGUACAUGAGAGUAAGGUUUCGAUCCUGUGGAACUGUGGGUUAUGGGCCCACCACAUGGGUUAAAAGCGGGAAGGGUGCUAACAUUUUGCAUGAUCAUGAUAGCAAGGCAGGUUAGAGAAUAGCCUGUCAAUUAUGUUGGCAACAAAGUUCGGUACCCAAGGCGUGGGACGAAGAGAACCAUUUUCCUCCUCGUUAAUUCGAGGCAGACCAAUAGGCAAAGUUCUCGUCCAUCGGUGAUACCGAAAUGUCAGCAACAUUAGUAACAGGGUCUCAUUGACAAGGUUGUACAUGGGGGUGUUUUAUAAGCGGGGAUUUAUUUCUGCUUAUAUCAUAUAGAUCGGAAGAAAGGUUAAACAAAACAAUGGAAAGGAAAAUGUGGUUAUUAGCUUAACCAGCCCAAUGGAAAGGAAAAGGUGCUUAUACAAAAGUAUUAGAGUAUAUGCUUCCCAAGAACAAACAGAGCAUGAUAUACAUGACAGGACAUCAAGUACUUAUCCAUUUAAUUAAUGGGGUAAGGAGAAUCAUGAUGUUUACCCAUACAUCGGUGUUUGGAUAAUUGAUCAAGAAACAUUUAGCAUUGCGCCUCCAAUGUUCUUAAUGAUGUUCGGAGUAACACAACCAUACUUUUGGAUAGCAUUGACAUGGUCAUCAGGUAAAGGCCGGACCUUGGGAACACAAAGGAUCCAUCGGGAAUUACUUGAACACCUCAAGCAAUUUUAUCAGGGAAGAUGAGGAGGUGGCCGAUAGUUUCAGCAAAAAUCCAUCGACAUGUCAAAAAGGAUGUAUUUACAACAUUAUCAGAAAAAGUUUGUGUUGGGGGGGGCAAGAAUGUUGUUGAUGAUAACACAAAUCAUCAAGAGGCAAGGAUGGUAUUUCUCAUCAUGAAUUUAAUUGAUAUCGUGGAAGAGCUCAGAAUGUUGAUGACGAUCAUGACAAAUUUGUCAAGAGGUUUCAUGAGGAUGUAAUCGAUCGACGAUGAUAUCAAGUCAAAGGAAUUUUGAGGCGGAAGGUUAUCGGAACCACGAAUAUGACACAAUCUCGGAAUCAGGCUUGCUGUUCAAGGUGAAAUAAUAUGACGAGGAAGAUUGACGUAAGCUUAGCUCCUCGUCGAAAAUUGUGCUCCAGUAAGGACCAGGUAGCACAGUUAAAAUUUACCACGGUAAUGAUAUAGCCGAUGAGGCUAGGAAUGGCUCGAAGUAUUAUUAAACUCGUAAGCAACGAAAAUUUACUUAGAGUUAUUGAAUUGGAGUGCAGGAUCGAUUCACUUAUCAGUGUGAUCGGUUGACAAACAACCCAGAACCCAUGAAGUGACAAUGACAGGGAAAGGUAGUGUUCAUCAAAAGUCCAUCAGAUUUGGUGCAAUGGCAUGAUAUCCUCGAGAUACUAGGGGUAAUACUUGAAGGUAGAUCAUAAUAGAGAUUGUACAUGUGUAUUGAUAUGCAGAUGGCAAGCACUUCAACUUGUCUGAGAAAUGGGAUCAAAGAAGAACAAUCUUGGUUGGGACCACGAUUGCAAAGGCCAAAACCACAGAUACAUGAUCAAAUUAUACCAAGGGAACAAUUAUUGUCACGAGAAGAUUCCAUGAUAAGAUCUACAUCAUUUCCAUGGGCAUGAACACAAAGUUCAAGGUCGACUCCCACUUCUCCAAUGCAUAACAUUUCAUGCACUUCCCGCUUUUGAAGAAGUUGUAGGGAUGAAAUUUUAUCUGACGAAAAGCUAGCAAGAUAAAACCCUCAUAACUUUCGAGUUCACACAGAUUUAGGGAAGGCAUAGGUUCAGCCCAUCGGGGCAUCUUAGGAACAUAUAACACAAGCUUCAGGAGUAAAUUAUACCAGCUUGAAAGCAGAGCAUCAUUGAUAAAAAGCAUAAGACAGAAUUUACAAAAGGCAUUAUGGGUCAAGGGAAGAACUCACAAGGUUAAUGAAUAUGAAGGACAUUGUCGGAUAAUAAUCCAACCAAGGAUAUGGCGAUGCAUAAAGGAUCUAAUGUGAGUAUCGAUACUAACCGAGCAGAAGAAAGAAUGCAAAGGCAUCGGAUCGUAGAAAUAUCUAGAUAAUUUCAAAACUUAAACACAAAGGAAUUAUGAUUUCCAAUUCGGGGGUCAGAAGCAGAUGCUCUGAUCAAAAGGGUAGUAAGUUGCAUAGAAUUCGAUGGGCAAUCUAUCAAGGUUUGAUUUGCGGAGAACCAGCUCAUGUCCGGAAUGACGUCUGAGCUGGAAGAACAAUUUCCAGGGAACAACUGAUGAUUGCGUGCAUUCACACACAUGUUGAAUCGACAGGGUAAGGACGGCAAUCGCAAAGGAUUUUAAUGAAUAUUGCUAGACAUAUGGAAUUAACCAAAAUGCAAGCAGGUAAGGAAGAACAAGAGCAAUAGGCUACUAAGGAUUUUCAGAAGAUCGAAUAGUAUUUCAAAGAAUUUUGUGAAACACAAGAACAACUAGGGAUGAGCGAAUACUCGAUAAGUGCGAGGAAUUAUCUGUAGGGGUAUUCAUGUGGUAAAGAACUGCAAGGCCGUAAGCUUAAAGGAUUCCCGGGGCGACAGAGAGUAUUUCGGGGCAUCUUAUGAUAACAAGAGCAAUAGGGAAUGACUGUAUGAAUGACAAGUGUACGUAGUUAUCCAUAAGGGUAUAUCGGUGCUAGGGAAUUGCAAAAGCGACAGGCACAAAGUGUCAAGAGAACAUCGUAGAGUAUCUUCGGAAUCUUCUGGUGCAGCAGGCGAUCAUCUGUAAUAAGGGGCUCUCCGGGAGAAAGUAGUUACGAGAUCCUAAUGUUAGAGUUAGCAAAAUCGUUUAACCCGAAAGGAAGAGAGAUCCGAGUCCCAGAGUAUAGACGAGGAAUAAAAGAUCCUAAUACCACCCAAUGGCGACACGGGCCCGUAAGACACACAACCAUGUUAGUAAAAAAAUUCAUUGACUAGACUCAACUUCGGCCAAGGAGUUGGAAAGGGGGCUACCUACAAGCAGUCGGCUCUGAUACCAACUUGUGACGCCCUCGAUUCAAUCGUACACUAAUCAUACAUGCAAAUGUGUACGAUCAAGAUCAAGGACUCACGGGAAGAUAUCACAACACAACUCUAGACACAAAUAAAAUAAUACAAGCUUUAUAUUACAAGCGAUGGGCCUCGAGGGCUCGAAUACAUAAGCUCAAAUACACAAGAGUCAACGAAAGCAACAAUAUCUGAGUAUAGACAUAGGUUAGACAAGUCUGCCUUAAGAAGGCUAGCACAAAAGCAACAUCGAUCGAACAGGCAAGGCCUCCUGCCUGGGAGACUCCUAACUACUCCUGGUCGUCAGCGGCCUCCACGUAGUAGUAGGCACCCUUAGUGUAGUAGCAGUCAUCGUCGAAGGUGGCGUCUGGAUCAUGGGCACCCCCAUCUGGUUGCAGCAUUCGGGAAGUAUGGAAAGAGGUGGAAAAAGGGGAGCAAAGCAACCGUGAGUACUCAUCCAAAGUACUCACAAGCAAGGAUCUACACUACAUAUGCAACAUUAUCAAAGAGGGGUUGUAUAUGUGGACUGGGCUGGAGAAAUGCUAGAAUAGAGAGAAGACCUAGUCCUAUCGAAGACUAGCAUCGUCAGUUUCUUCAAGCAUCUUGCAGCAUUCAGAAGAGUAAAGAGUAGCAUAAAGUAAGGUAGUAGUAGUGUCAUCAACCUCGCC